rnacentral:misc_RNA from 1 species
UACACCCUUGCAUAUUUCUCACUUUGUAUCCUAAUUUCAAAGUUUUAUUAAUAAUUUAUUGUAGUUAUCAUUAUUCUUGGAAUUAUUAAAGGUUCUAUUAUUAAAACCAUGUUAUUAUGAUUCUUAUAGAUGUGUUUGUCUUGGAUUUUCUUUUAUUGCAAUUGGAUAAAUCAUUGUUGUUAUAUUUGGUUCCUAGAAUUAUUAAAAAUCAUGACAUUCUAAUUCUCAUAUGAGUUAUUUUUAGCUAGAUUUUUCUUUGUUAUGCUAGUAAGUAAUUACAUUAUCUAUAACCAUUAAUCAAUUUUUAUUUUAUAGUUGAAUCAAAAUCAAUAUUUAGUUAGAUAGUUAAAUCAAUAGCUUGGCAAUCAAACAACUUGACAAAAGAUGUUGUGGUUUUACUGUGAAAUCAAUUGUUUGAUAGUUGAACAAUUUAACAUAAGACAUUGUUAUUUUACUGUUUACUGUUGAGGGUAUUUUAGGAAAUAAGGAUAAAUGAAUUUCUAAAUAUAAAUCAAAUAUGAAUUAUAUGAAAUUUAAUUGAAUUUUACAUUUUAAUAUUAAUUCUGAUUCUAGCACUCAAUGAGAACAAAUACUUUGAAGGGAUCGAAUUCCAAUUCUUUAUUGAUCCAAACACCUUGAAUAUAUAUAUAUAUUCAUUCCAUUAUGAUUUCCUUGAUUCUGAUUUUAAUUCCAAUUUUGAUUUCUCAAAUAAAAUUAUUUUCUCCGUGAGAGCUUGCCUACCUUCAUUUUAAAUCCUGGCUUUGAUUGUCAUUACACAUUGCAUAUAUACACACAUACAAAGGGAUUAAAGCUUAGUUAAGUUAGGUUUUGUGUGUGUAAAAAUGUUUGAAACUGAACAAGUGCAUUUUGCGACCCGGGAUCUUCUGCUCUAUGUGGUAAUGGGUAAUCUUCAUUCUCUUUUGUCCUCAACAUAUAUUGUCUUUCGAGAAUUUAGAUGACAAAGGGGGUUGAGACUCGAGAUGUUGGCUGUAACAAACAGUGAACCUCUAAUAAUCAUGGCAGUAGAGAUUAUCAGGACAGCUCCAUAGUUCACACACUCAAGUUUGAUAUAAAAUUGGGAUUCACUGUAAAGUUUGCCUUGCUUGCAUAUGUUCUCCUCAUUUCUGAUUCUGAAUCAUUUGUCAUGUUUGCAGGACUUUGUUACUUAGCACAAUUCCUGUCUUGAUAGUCUCUCUCCU